rnacentral:siRNA from 1 species
UGACGAUGCCAUAAAAUACUCAGA